GAUGAACGCUGGCGGCGUGCCUAAUACAUGCAAGUCGAGCGAACAGACGAGGAUCUUGCUCCUCUGACGUUAGCGGCGGACGGGUGAGUAACACGUGGAUAACCUACCUAUAAGACUGGGAUAACUUCGGGAAACCGGAGCUAAUACCGGAUAAUAUAGUGAACCGCAUGGGUCAAUAGUGAAAGGCGGGUUUGCUGUCACUUAUAGAUGGAUCCGCGCCGCAUUAGGUAGUUGGUAAGGUAACGGCUUACCAAGGCAACGAUGCGUAGCCGACCUGAGAGGGUGUACGGCCCCAGUGGGACUGAGAGGCGGUCCUGACUCCUACGGGAGGCCGCAGUAGGGACUGUUCGCAACUGGGGGGAAGCCUGCCGGAGCAGCGCCGCGUGGGUGCUGAAGGUCUUCGGAUCGUAAAACUCUGUUAUUAGUGAAGACCAAAUGUGUAAGUAACUAUGCACGUCUUGACGGUAGUUAAUCAGAAAGCCCCGGCUAACUACGUG
rnacentral:rRNA from 1 species